AGUGAACGCUGGCGGUAGGCCUAACACAUGCAAGUCGAACGGCAGCACAGUAAGAGCUUGCUCUUACGGGUGGCGAGUGGCGGACGGGUGAGGAAUACAUCGGAAUCUACUUUUUCGUGGGGGAUAACGUAGGGAAACUUACGCUAAUACCGCAUACGACCUACGGGUGAAAGCAGGGGAUCUUCGGACCUUGCGCGAUUGAAUGAGCCGAUGUCGGAUUAGCUAGUUGGCGGGGUAAAGGCCCACCAAGGCGACGAUCCGUAGCUGGUCUGAGAGGCUGAUCAGCCACACUGGAGGUGAGACACGGACCAGACGCCUGCGAGAGGGAGCAGUGGGGAAUAGGGGGCAAUGGGCGCAAGCCUUAUCCAGCCAUACCGCGUGGGUGAAGAAGGCCUUCCGGGUGUAAAGCCCUUUUGUUGGGAAAGAAAAGCAGCAGGUUAAUACCCCGCUGUUCUGACGGUACCCAAAGAAUAAGCACCGGCUAACUUCGUG
rnacentral:rRNA from 1 species